rnacentral:tRNA from 1 species
GAGGGCGUAGCUCAGCGGUAGAGCGUGUGCUUAGCAUGCACGAGGUCCUGGGUUCAAUCCCCAGUCCCUCA